rnacentral:rRNA from 1 species
GAUGAACGCUGGCGGCGUGCCUAAUACAUGCAAGUCGAGCGAACGGACGAGAAGCUUGCUUCUCUGAUGUUAGCGGCGGACGGGUGAGUAACACGUGGAUAACCUACCUAUAAGACUGGGAUAACUUCGGGAAACCGGAGCUAAUACCGGAUAAUAUUUUGAAUCGCAUGGUUCAAAAGUGAAAGACGGUCUUUCUGUCACUUAUAGAUGGAUCCGCGCUGCAUUAGCUAGUUGGUAAGGUAACGGCUUACCAAGGCAACGAUGCAUAGCCGACGUGAGAGGGGGAUCGGGCACACUGGAACUGAGACACGGUACAGACACCUACGGGAGGCAGCAGAAGGGAAUCUUCCGCAAUGGGCGAAAGCAUGACGGAGCAAAGCCGCGUGAGUGAUGAAGGUCUACGGAUCGUAAAACUCUGUUAUUAGGGAAGAACAUAUGUGUAAGUAACUGUGCACAUAUUGACGGUACCUAAUCAGAAAGCCACGGCUAACUACGUG